AUGCAGCUCGCGGCGGUGUGCACGGAUCCCUGGGUGCUCUCCGGCACCGCCCUCGUCGUCCUCGUCCACCUCGUGCUCCGGCACUUCCGCUCCGGCGGCCGCCGCCUCCCGCCGGGCCCGCGCGGCUUCCCGAUACUCGGCGCGCUGCCGCUCGUCGGCCCGACCCCGCACACCGGGCUGGCGGCGCUGGCACGCAAGCACGGCCCGGUCAUGUACCUCAAGAUGGGCACCUGCGGCGUCGUGGUGGCGUCGUCCCCCGCGGCGGCGCGGCAGUUCCUCAAGGUGCAGGACGCGCGCUUCGCCGACCGGCCCGCCGUCGCCAGCGCCGUGGACAUCACGUACGGGUUCCAGACCAUCGCGUUCGGCAUGCAGGGGCCCAGGUGGAAGCAGAUGCGCAAGCUGUCGACCGUGCACCUGCUCGGCGCGCAGGCCAUGUCCGAGUGGGCGUCCGUGCGCCGGGACGAGGCCGGCCGCCUGCUGCGCGACGUGGCUGGGGCCUCCGCCGCCGGGGAGCUGGUCUCCGUGCCGGACGUGCUGGUGCGCGCGUUCGCCAACAUCAUCGGGCAGAUCACCCUGAGCAAGAGGCUGUUCGACACCCAGGGCGACGAGGCCAACAGAUACAAGGAGAUGAUCACGUUGGUGCAGAGCGGGUCGGGGCUAUUCAACAUCAGCGACUUCGUGCCGGCCCUGUCACGCUUUGACCUGCAGGGUGUUCAGGCGAAGCUGCGGAAGAUCCACCUCCGCUUCGACGACAUGAUCACCAGCCUCCUGGACGAGCACUCGGCGACGGCCAAGCAGCGGCAGGGUCGGCCGGACUUCAUCGACAAGCUCAAGGCCAGCAUGGCCGACAACAAGGACAGCAACGACGCCGACACGAUCUCCGAAGUCAACGUCAAGGGAUUCGUAUUUGACAUGUUCACCGCCGGCACGGACACGGCGUCGAUCAUCGCGGAGUGGGCGAUGGCGGAGAUGAUCAAGAACCCGUCCAUCACGGCGCGCGCGCAGGAGGAGAUGGACCGCGUCGUCGGCCGCGGCCGCCGCCUCGAGGAGUCCGACGUCGCCAGCCUCCCCUACCUGCAGGCCGUAUGCAAGGAGGCCAUGCGCCUCCACCCCUCGACCCCGCUAAGCAUCCCGCACUUCUCCGCCGAGGAGUGCGAGGUGGACGGCUACCACAUCCCCAGGAACACGCAGCUGCUCGUCAACAUCUGGGCCAUCGGCCGGGACGAGGCGACAUGGGAGGACCCGCUCGAGUUCCGGCCGGAGCGGUUCCUGUCCGGGCCGACGGCCAACGUGGACGCGCUGGGGAACCACUUCGAGCUCAUCCCCUUCGGCGCCGGGCGGAGGAUCUGCGUCGGGAAGCUGGCCGGCAUGGUGUUCGUGCAGUACUUCCUGGGCAUGCUGGUGCACGCGUUCGAGUGGCGGCUGCCGGAAGGCGAGAAGCUGGACAUGGAAGAGCAGUUCGGGCUCACGAUGCCCAAGGCCGUGCCGCUGCGGGCUAUUGUCACCCCACGGCUGGCGCCGGCCGCGUACGCGUGA
rnacentral:rRNA from 1 species